rnacentral:rRNA from 1 species
AGGUGCGAUCAUAUAAGCACUAUUGCACCCGAACCCAUCAGAACCCCGUAGUUAAGCGUGCCUGGGCUACAGUUGUACUAGGAUGUGUGACCUCCUGGGAAGUUCUCAUGUUGCACCCC